CUAAGGGGGACUCAUGAGAAAGAAAUCUCAAGUAGACAAAAGGGUAAAAGUCCCCUUGAUUUUGAUUUUUCAGUGUGAAUACAAACCAUGAAAGUGUG
rnacentral:rRNA from 1 species